rnacentral:tRNA from 1 species
CAGGGUGUAGUCAAGAAACAACACAUUUCCCUUACACUGAAAAGACCCCCGUGCAAACCGGGGCACCCUGA